rnacentral:rRNA from 1 species
UGGGGAAUAUUGGACAAUGGGCGCAAGCCUGAUCCAGCAAUACCGCGUGUGUGAAGAAGGCCUUAGGGUUGUAAAGCACUUUCAAUUGGGAGGAAAACCUGCCGGUCAAUACCCGGUAGCUUGACAUUACCUUUAGAAGAAGCACCGGCUAACUCCGUGCCAGCAGCCGCGGUAAUACGGAGGGUGCGAGCGUUAAUCGGAAUUACUGGGCGUAAAGCGUGCGUAGGCGGUUCGUUAAGUCAGAUGUGAAAGCCCUGGGCUCGACCUGGGAACGGCAUUUGAAACUGGCGGACUAGAGUUUAGUAGAGGGGAGUGGAAUUUCAGGUGUAGCGGUGAAAUGCGUAGAUAUCUGAAGGAACACCAGUGGCGAAGGCGACUCCCUGGACUAGAACUGACGCUGAGGUACGAAAGCGUGGGUAGCAAACAGGAUUAGAUACCCAAGUAGUCCCUGAGCGGGCUGGCAAGGCGCAU